rnacentral:rRNA from 1 species
AGAGUUUGAUCCUGGCUCAGGACGAACGCUGGCGGCGUGCCUAAUACAUGCAAGUCGAACGCAAAACUUUUAACUGAUGCUUGCAUCGACCUAAAGUUUUGAGUGGCGGACGGGUGAGUAACACGUGGGUAACCUGCCCAUCAGAGGGGGACAACACUUGGAAACAGGUGCUAAUACCGCAUAAUACAGAGAACCGCAUGGUUCUUUGUUGAAAGGCGCUUCUGGUGUCGCUGAUGGAUGGACCCGCGGUGCAUUAGCUAGACGGUGAGGUAACGGCUCACCGUGGCAAUGAUGCAUAGCCGACCUGAGAGGGUGAUCGGCCACAUUGGGACUGAGACACGGCCCAAACUCCUACGGGAGGCAGCAGUAGGGAAUCUUCGGCAAUGGACGAAAGUCUGACCGAGCAACGCCGCGUGAGUGAAGAAGGUUUUCGGAUCGUAAAACUCUGUUGUUAGAGAAGAACAGGAGCGAUAGUAACUGCUCGCUCUUUGACGGUAUCUAACCAGAAAGCCACGGCUAACUACGUGCCAGCAGCCGCGGUAAUACGUAGGUGGCAAGCGUUGUCCGGAUUUAUUGGGCGUAAGGCGAGCGCAGGCGGUUGCUUAGGUCUGAUGUGAAAGCCUUCGGCUUAACCGAAGAAGUGCAUCGGAAACCGGGCAACUUGAGUGCAGAAGAGGACAGUGGAACUCCAUGUGUAGCGGUGGAAUGCGUAGAUAUAUGGAAGAACACCAGUGGCGAAGGCGGCUGUCUGGUCUGCAACUGACGCUGAGGCUCGAAAGCAUGGGUAGCGAACAGGAUUAGAUACCCUGGUAGUCCAUGCCGUAAACGAUGAGUGCUAGGUGUUGGAGGGUUUCCGCCCUUCAGUGCCGGAGCUAACGCAUUAAGCACUCCGCCUGGGGAGUACGACCGCAAGGUUGAAACUCAAAGGAAUUGACGG